CUGCUUGGUUCUAUAAGCAUUUAUACACUUUUUUAUGUGAAUUAUUAAUUUCCCAGUCCAGUCUAUGGGAAGACUGUCAAGAAUCUGGGUAGCAGUCACAGUGACAAUAAAAUCCUAUUCUGUGUCUGAGCCUCCAUGGUGGAAUUUCUGGCAAGGCCCCUCUCUCCCUCCCCUUAAGCAGGAUCCUGGCAUAGCUCAUCAGCUCUUCCUGAAGCAAAUACAGUUCUGCUGUAAACUCUGGGGUUAAUCUCUGCUCCAGCCAUAAAAGGUGUUAACAGCUGAAACCCUUCCUGCAGCUCACUCUGUAAGGAUGCUGCUGGGCACCAUCAUUCUUCCUGUUGCCGUGGGACCUCCUGUUGGACCAGUAAUUGCCCUUGCUUCCAUGGCCAUCUUAAGAACAGCUGAAGUGACAAAGGGUGCACCAGUAAAACUUUUCCUGUUUUCUUCUCCUCCAUUACUCAGAGGUUUCUGCUGUUUCUGCUGUUAAUUAAACUUUUAAGUUAGCCUACUAUUUUCUGGAAACACUUGAAAAAAAAAAAUCUCUUGGGAUGUAUCAGAGAUUUGAGAGGCAUGUUUCUACGUUGCCCCUCAAAGUAACCUUCUCUAGUCCCAGGUAGAGAGCAGGAACUUCAUCUCUUUCAUAUAUCAGUGUAUAUUUCCUCAUCUUUUAAAAAUGUCUGAAUUUCUCAUUAGACACACCAAAUUCUGUAGGACUAUUCUUUCUAAGUGGAGAGGAAAGACUGCCAGGUGCUCACAAAAGGAUUUGUUCUGGCUUUUCUCAGGAUGAAUUAUGUCAUGCUGUUGUAUCAAACAACCUGUUGUAUCAACCCUAAAAUCUCAGUGGCUUAAAACACAAGGUCAUUUUUUUCUCAUAUUACAUAUUCACAAGUAACUAUAUGGGAGUUCUUUAGAGGCUCAGACAGAUGAGGGGCUUUGUUAUCUCAUGCUGCCUCCAGCACUGUGAUGUUUAGGGUUUACUGCAGUAGUGGUAAAUACAGCUCUUAAACACGUCUGCUAGGAAGUAAUGCAUGUCACUCUGUUCACUUUCACUGGCCCAAAAAAGUCCUUGACCAAGAAUGCUAGUGAGGAGUUUCCAUUGGGACUCAGCAGGUUAAGGACCUGACAUUGUCUCUGUGAGGAGGCGGGUUUGAUCCCUGUCCUUUCUCAGUGCAUUAAGUAUCCAGCAUUGCCACAAGCUGUAGUGUAGGUCACAGAUGCUGCUCAGAGCCAGUGUUUCCGUGGCUGUGGUGUAGGCUGGCAGCUGCAAUUCCAAAUCAACCUCUUUCCCAGGAACUUCCAUAUGUCGCACUGUGGCCCUUAAAAAAAAGAAACAACGUUUAAAAAAAAAAUGCUGGUGACAUUGACCAUUUCUUUCAAGGGAGCCUAAGGAAACUGCAAUCAAUAGGCAUGAGCCCUGGAACCAAAUGAUGCUCUUGCAGGGUUAAGCCAUGUGGGAAACCCUCUAAGGGAGUGAAAUUCCUUGGGAGUGGCUGGAGUGGUAGAAGGAAGCUUGUGGGGCCACUCUGCUGUGCCUAUCUUACCUUCUGCCACUAUCAAGGGCUUACUGGAGAUGGUGGGGAUCCUUGUGGCCUGUGAGGGCCUGCUUGCUGCACCUGCUUGGUGAGCACCCUCCAUCUGCCUAUUGGAAGGAUAGCACUCUCUGUAUGUUUGAAGCAAGAGUCUGCAGUGAACAUGAAACUAAUCCAACAGCCACUGAGACAGAGACUUGGUAAGAGGGGCUUGAUGUAUCUAAAACUUGGUUAGAGUAAAACAAGAACAUAGGAAAAAUGAGACAUUUUAAAUGGUAUAAGAUUUUUAACCAUUGCCUUAUACUUCACUAAACAUUUGUUUACAUACUAUCUCUUUUGGUCUUGGAAAGUAUAUUAAUCAAUUUCAGCCUCCUUGCCUGUUUUAUGUCCUUGGCACUUACCACAUCUAACAUUCUAAGUCUUUUGCCUGUUUAUUUUAAUUGUCUGUCUUACCCACUAGAAUUGAACCUCCUUGAGGCUAUUUUUUGCCAACUGUUAAAUCCUCAGAACUGAGAACAGUACCUGGCAUAGACAAGGUCCUCAUCAAAUAUUUAUUAAAUACAUGGGUAAGUAGUAGUAAUUCAUCUUGAGGCUAGUUUCAUAGCACAAAGAUGCGUGGUGAUGCCUUACAACAUUGCCUUAUUACCUUCUUCUGUGUUAAUUUUGCUAAUUAGAGAAAAAAGUUUCCUGAUUGAUUUUUAUUCAACAUUCAAUAUGGAAUACAUUUUGAGCACUAACAGAAUGCCAGGCAUUUUAUAUACCAGUGAAUAAAACAAAGAUCCUUGACUUCAUAAAGCUUCAUAUUCCCAGGGGUAGAGUGGAAGGAGACAGUCAAUGAAGUUAACAAAUAACGUAACCUUUUGGGGAGUGAUUAAUACCAUGAAAUAAAAAAGAGGAGGUGAAGGGAAUUGGAAGUGCCAGUGAUGGGCAGAGUGAGGAAGGAGCAGAGCAUUAAUUUGGGUGGUGAGGGGAAGCCCCAUUAACUAGGUGAGAUUCAGUUAUGAACUUGAAAGAGGUAAAAGAAUGGACAUUUUUAGUGGAAGUGGUGGAGCAUGGUAGGGUGUCUAAGGGAGAGAAGACAGCUGGGGCUCAGGCUGAGCAGGAGGUUUGAACAUGUAAGGAGGCCAGAGUGGCUGAUGCUGAGAGAAUGAAAGGGAAAAGCCAGAGGAGAUGGAGUUAGAUUUGGGGUGAGUCAGAUAAGUCCUCAGAAGCCACUGAAAGGACAUGUGCUCUUGCUUGUAGUGAGAGGGGUGCCUUGGGAGGAUUUUGAAUAGAAGAAAGACAUGAUUUGACAGAGGUGAUUAUCCCCCUGGCGACAGUACUGAGGAUGAGUCCUAGGGCAGGAAGUCUAGAAGUCUUCCAGCUUGUGUGAGGCCACAGCUGAGUCCAUGCUAAAGGAUAUGUUGGCUUGAAGGAGGUGACAGUGAGAGUGGAGGUAGUAGAAAAUGGUCUGAUACUGCAAACUCUUUCCAAAUUCCUGUCUGCUGACUGCUUUCUGUCUGCUUAAUUGAUAGGGGCACAUUUAGGCACAUUGGGAAGUCACUGGAGUCUGUCUUCCAUACCCAGACUCUUUCCUUGCCACACCUUCCUCUGCUAAGAAUGUUCCUCUCUUCUGAGUGUCUUGUGUCUCUUUGCACUUCCUUCUGUAUCAAACAACACUACUUAUUUAUUGAAGAAUUGUGGUUUGAAAUUGAUUUGCAUUUCUAGCCUUUACUACUUUAUUGUUUAAUGCAAAAUAUGUGUUCUCCCUUUUCAAUGAACUUUAUGCAUCAUUAGUAUGAAAAGACAUGUUUGCUUUGGAGCCCAUCUGCCUUGGUUUUUAUCAGCUAAUGCUUCUUACCCUUUAAAUUUGGUUCCUAAAUCACAAUUACUGCUCCAUAGAUGGACCUGGAAAAAACCCUAAUUUCCUAUUUAUAUUGUGAUGGGAAAAAGGUCAGAAGAAUAAGCCUAAGCUGAUAAGUUUUCCUGAGCUGAUAGCCUGGACCAGGGCAGUUUGAGGCUGGAUGUUGCUGCUCUCAGAGAAGAAGGGACUCUUGCCAUUGGUCAGAAGAUCCUUCCCUUUCAACCACUCUGAUUUCCAGCCCUGAUUUCCCCUUUCCAAAUCUCUCUCCUUUCUUUUCCCUCCUUCUCACUUACCAGAUCAAAAAUAAAACUCAAAGUUUUCUUAUUGUCUUAUGCUGAACACAUUAACUGCCUCUGAUACUUUUAGAGCCUCACUUUCUCACAGAGAGGUUUUUUUUUUUUUUCCAAGCAAGCUAGUUUCUUCACAAAGAAGGAUUCUGAUGCCAGGUGUUACCAUAAUAAUUUUUUAUAAUCUCAUUACAUGUAUCACCUAACAUGAAAUAAUCUCCUUCCCUUCCUGACCCAGAAACUAGGAGUCUUACCUAAGUUCAUAAAAUUAUUCAGUAGCAGAAUUAACAUAGGAAUUCCUCUCUGCCUUCAGGUGCCUUCAGUUUGGAACAUGCUCUCUGAAAGCCAAAGAUUCACAAGUCAUGUUUGUGGUUCACAGUCAGGUGAUGAUAAAGCUAAGACAGGAAAGUGACCAGAGUUUGAAGGUAUGUUGCUGAGAUUUGAAGAGGCAUGGUGAGUAAAUACCAGCGUCUGUUCAACUAGUGCUGGGAAAUGAGACUCAUUCAAAUGUGCUACUUUUUUUUAAGUGCAGCAGUCCCUUCUUUAUUUGGCAAAACCAAGUGGGACCAAAUGCAAACCUCUAAGGAAUUUAUAUACUGUGAUGAAAUAAUAUCUCACUCCCAAUUUCUUUGACAGAUGACCCAAAUUUUACUUCUCCUAGGACUAGACAGGUGUAUCUUUGAGACAUUUUGAGUUCAGUUCCAGACCACUGCAAUAAAGCAAGUCCAAUUUUUGGCUUCCCAGUACAUUUAAAAUUAUGUUUAUACUAUAGUGUUGUAUAUUAUGUGUGCAAUAUGUGUAAAAAAAUGUACAUACCUUAAUUUUAAAAUGCAAUGCUAAUCAUCAUCUAGGCUUUUGGUGAGUCUUAAACUGUUUGCUGAUGGAAGGUCUUGUCUCCCAUGUUGAUGGCUGCUGACUGAUCAGGGUGGUAGUUGCUGGAGGUUGCAGUGGCUGUGGAAAUUUCUUUAAAUAAGACAGCAAUGAAUAUUGCUUCAUUAGUUGACUCUUCCUUUCAUAAAUGAGUUCUUUGCACCAUGCAAUGCUAUUUGAUAGCAUUUUACCCAUAGUAGUAAUUUCCAAUAUUGGAGUCAAUCCUCUCAAGCCUUAUCACUGAGUUUGUGUAAUACUCUAAAUCCUUCAUCAUUUCAACAAUCUUCACAACAUCUUCACCAGGAAUAGAUUCCAUCUCAAGAAAUCACUUUCUUUGCUCAUCCAUAAGAAGCAAUUCACCCAUUAAAGUUUUUUGUGAGAUUGCAGUUUAGUCAAAUCUUCAGGCUCUGCCUAGAAUUCCCUUGCUAUCUCUACCACAUCUAUAUUUACCUCCUCCAAUGAAGUCUUAAAUGCCUCAAAGUCAUCCAUGAGUGAUAGUCUCCUUCUUACAAACUCCUUUAAAUGUUCAUAUUUUGACCUCUUCCUAGGAAUCAUAAAUGUUCUUAAAGGGCAUCUAGAAUGGUGAAUCCUUUCUCAAAGGCUUUUAAUUGACUUUUUUCAGAUCCAUCAAAGGAAUCACUGAGAGUUAUAGCCUUAAAAAUAGACAUUAGUAGUUGCUGUUGUGGCUCAGCAGAACCUGACUACUAUCCAUGAGGAUGCAGGUUCAAUCCCUGACCUCUCUCAGUGGGUUAAGGAUAUGGCAUUGCCUUGAGCUGUGAUGUAGGUUGCAGACAUGGCUAGGAUCCUAAGUUGAGGUGGCUGUGGUGUAGGCCAGCAACUACAGCUCCAAUUUGGUCCCUAUCCUAGGAACUUCCAUGUGCCAUGGGCGCAG
rnacentral:lncRNA from 1 species